rnacentral:rRNA from 1 species
AUGAAUCACCUUGUUUGGAACUGCCGGGGCGUGGGGAACCGCCGGACAGUUCGUGACUUACUGGCCCUUGUUAGGGCUAAUUCACCCCGACUUGUCUUUCUCUGCGAGACGAGACAUGAUGUUGUAGAAGUGGAGAAACUGCGAUGGAGACUUGGGCUCCAUGGCUUUCGAGGUGUUGAUUCAGUUGGGAAAGGUGGUGGACUUGGUCUGUUUUGGGAGGAG